AUUGAACGCUGGCGGCAUGCCUUACACAUGCAAGUCGAACGGCAGCACGGGUGCUUGCACCUGGUGGCGAGUGGCGAACGGGUGAGUAAUACAUCGGAACGUACCUUAUCGUGGGGGAUAACGCAGCGAAAGUUGCGCUAAUACCGCAUACGCCCUGAGGGGGAAAGCGGGGGACCGUAAGGCCUCGCGCGAUUAGAGCGGCCGAUGUCUGAUUAGCUUGUUGGUGAGGUAAAAGCUCGCCAAGGCGAUGAUCAGUAGCUGGUCUGAGAGGACGAUCAGCCACACUGGGACUGAGACACGGCACAGACUCCUACGGGAGGCAGCAGUGGGGAAUUUUGGACAAUGGGGGCAACCCUGAUCCAGCAAUGCCGCGUGAGUGAAGAAGGCCUUCGGGUUGUAAAGCUCUUUUGUCAGGGAAGAAACAGCAGCUCUAACACAGUCUGCGAAUGACGGUACCUGAAGAAUAAGCACCGGCUAACUACGUGCCAGCCGCCGCCGUAA
rnacentral:rRNA from 1 species